rnacentral:rRNA from 1 species
GCAAGUCGAACGAGAAAGCUCCCUUCGGGGAGUGAGUAAAGUGGCAGACGGGUGAGUAACACGUGGGUAACCUACCCCGAGGUGGGGGAUAACUCUCCGAAAGGAGGGCUAAUACCGCAUAACAUCCCGAGACCGAUGGGUCAUGGGAUCAAAGCAGGCCUCUUCUUGAAAGCUUGCGCCAUGGGAUGGGCCCGCGCCCCAUUAGCUUGUUGGUGAGGUAACGGCUCACCAAGGCCGCGAUGGGUAGCCGGCCUGAGAGGGCGAUC